AUUGAACGCUGGCGGCAGGCCUAACACAUGCAAGUCGAACGAGUGGCGGACGGGUGAGUAAUGUCUGGGAAACUGCCUGAUGGAGGGGGAUAACUACUGGAAACGGUAGCUAAUACCGCAUACCAUCGGAUGUGCCCAGAUGGGGUUGGCUAGUAGGUGGGGUAAAGGCUCACCUAGGCGACGAUCCAUAGCUGGUCUGAGAGGAUGACAAGCCACACUGGAACGGAGACACGGUACAGACUCCUAAGGGAGGCAGCAGUGGGGAAUAUUGGACAAUGGGCGCAGGCCUAAUGCAGCCAUGCCGGGUGUAUGAAGAAGGCCUUCGGGUUGUAAAGUACUUUCAGCGGGGAGGCGUUACCCGCAGAAGAAGCACCGGCUAACUCCGUGCCAGCAGCCGCGGUAAUU
rnacentral:rRNA from 1 species